rnacentral:rRNA from 1 species
AGUGAACGCUGGCAGUAGGCCUAACACAUGCAAGUCGAACGGCAGCACAGUAAGAGCUUGCUCUUACGGGUGGCGAGUGGCGGACGGGUGAGGAAUACAUCGGAAUCUACUUUUUCGUGGGGGAUAACGUAGGGAAACUUACGCUAAUACCGCAUACGACCUACGGGUGAAAGCAGGGGAUCUUCGGACCUUGCGCGAUUGAAUGAGCCGAUGUCGGAUUAGCUAGUUGGCGGGGUAAAGGCCCACCAAGGCGACGAUCCGUAGCUGGUCUGAGAGGAUGAUCAGCCACACUGGAACUGAGACACGGUCCAGACUCCUACGGGAGGCAGCAGUGGGGAAUAUUGGACAAUGGGCGCAGGCCUGAUCCAGCCAUACCGCGUGGGUGAAGAAGGCCUUCGGGUUGUAAAGCCCUUUUGUUGGGAAAGAAAAGCAGCAGGUUAAUACCCCGCUGUUCUGACGGUACCCAAAGAAUAAGCACCGGCUAACUUCGUG